rnacentral:rRNA from 1 species
UACAGAGACUGCGAGCGUUAUUCGGAUUCACUGGGCGUAAAGGGUGCGCAGGCGGCCAAGUGGGUGAGGCGUGAAAGCCCGGGGCUUAACCCCGGAAUUGCACCUCAAACUACAUGGCUAGAGUACUGGAGAGGGUAACAGAAUUCACGGUGUAGCAGUGAAAUGCGUAGAUAUCGUGAGGAAUACCAGAGGCGAAGGCGGUUACCUGGACAGUUACUGACGCUCAGGCACGAAAGCGUGGGGAGCAAAAGGG